rnacentral:tRNA from 1 species
UGAAGGAUGCGAGGUUCGAACUCGCGCGGACAACCGUCCAACAGAUCUUWAGUCU